rnacentral:rRNA from 1 species
AUUGAACGCUGGCGGCAGGCCUAACACAUGCAAGUCGAGCGGAGCGGCGGACGGGUGAGUAAUGCCUAGGAAUCUGCCUGGUAGUGGGGGAUAACGUCCGGAAACGGGCGCUAAUACCGCAUACUAUCAGAUGAGCCUAGGUCGGAUUAGCUAGUUGGGGGGGUAAAGGCCUACCAAGGCGACGAUCCGUAACGGGGCUGAGAGGAUGAUCAGUCACACGGGAAGUGAGAAACGGUCCAGACUCCGACGGGUGGCAGCAGGUGGGAGUAUUGGACAAGGGGCGAAAGCCUGAUCCAGCCAUGCCGCGUGGGUGAAGAAGGUCUUCGUGUUGUAAAGCACUUUAAGUUGGGAGGCGUUACCAACAGAAUAAGCACCGGCUAACUUCGUGCCAGCAGCCGCGGUAAUUC